AUUGCUUCUCAGCCUUUUGGCUAAGAUCAAGUAUAGUAUCUGUUUUUAUCAGUUUAAUUUCUGCUACAUCCUCUAUCUGAGGACAAUAUAUUAAAUGGAUUUUUGGAACUAGGAGGUGAAAUAGGAGCUUGCUUCAUCCACUCCACACAUCCACUUGGUAUCUCAGUACCUCCAGGAACAGUGCAGCCAUC